UACAGAGGUCUCAAGCGUUGUUCGGAUUCAUUGGGCGUAAAGGGUGCGUAGGUGGCGUCGUAAGUCAGGUGUGAAAUCUCGGAGCUUAACUCCGAAACUGCAUUUGAUACUGCGGUGCUUGAGGACUGGAGAGGAGACGUGGAAUUUACGGUGUAGCAGUGAAAUGCGUAGAGAUCGAUAGGAAGACCAGUGGCGAAGGCG
rnacentral:rRNA from 1 species